AAACAGUGCAAAUAAGACCUUACUAUCUUUUAGCUCUUCCUCAGCACCAGAGGAAGCUUUUCAUAAGAUGUAAAUUGUGUGGUUUGAAGCUUUGUAAAGUUGAAGGAAAACAAUUUUUUAUAGCCAGUGUUGAUGACAGAAUUCUUGAAGACCACAGUGUCAGACAAGUCAGUACAAGUCAGUACAAUAAUGCUGGCUGCUCAUAAAAAUCUUGACUGAUUUUAUACGUAGUAGCAGUGGUGGUGCAAUUGUGAGAAUCAAACUGUAUCUGGUGCCCUUACUACAACAAACACUGCAUUCAGAAGCAGGCUUUAAGAGAUCAAAAGCAACUUUUUAGGACAUAGAAAUAGUAAGGUGUCAACCAUUAGUGAUCAGUGCCACAUCUGAUUUGUCCAGUCUCUCCUGCCUUUACAUUGAAAGCUGGCACUUUAAGCUUUUCACAGGUGACUAUUUUUGAAGAUGGUUUGGCUCAUGUUUUCACUUGAGAAAUCUGUGAUGCAAUUGCCUACUCUGGUACAGGCAUAGGCAUGUUUCACAUGUGUACAUUUUUACUUCCACUCACUUUGUUUCUAACAGCAAUACUUUAUCAGCAGAAUCAUCACUAUUGAUGUUUCACAACCUAGGCUGGCCAGACUGGUGCACCUCUGAGACUGUAGUCAAGGAGGACAGCCUUUUUCUAUAGAUGAAAUAGACAGUAUGGAGUAUCCCAUUCUUCUGGGAAAAGCUUAAGAUACACAAUUGUUAUUGUAACACUUAAUGUAUAACAUAGUCCUUCUCUUACUAUAAAGUGCUACUCUAAAAUUC